ACGGCAGCCCCUCCUCCUUCCGGGUCUGUUCUGCUCACACCCCUGAGCUCUGGGAGGCCCCAGGCAGAGAAGGGGUGGGGGGAUGGGGGGGUGGUCUUGCUCGAGGUCACGUCUGCCUUCCAGAGCAGCCAGGUCAGGACGGAAGGGUUUCUACCCCUCAGUUCCCGUACUACGAGAUGAUGGGGUGAGGCCAUCGGCUGUGUGCAUAUUACACAAGCAAUCUGGGUUCCUCCUCAUAAACCAGACGUGGGGCAGAGGUUCCCAGGCUCGGGGGUGCAAGGCCUCCCUAGUCUUUCCAGGCUCGGAGCCUCUGUGCCACACCUGCCCUCAAUGCACCCACACCCAAGACCAUGAAGGUCACCGGCCCCUGCUGCUGCUGGCGCAGCUGUGGGUGAAGCCCUGUAAGUGGGGGCUGAGGGUGGAGGAUGGGAAGGAGGCCUGAAGGUGGGAGUGAGACCCUCUCGAUGCUGGGGGCUCCAGAUGCCAGCAGGACCCUGCCCACAAUUCUGAGUAGCCAAGGGCACCUGAGCCUACCUGUGUGCUGCCCAGGCCUGCUGCCUGUGCUGGUGAGAGGGACUGGAACCCACCCUUCAGCCUGGGACCCUGACCUGCACCCUCCCCGCCCCAUCCCGAGUCAGGGCCUUGAGUGCUUCCAGUGCUACAGUGUCUUGGACCCCAGCCUGUGCCACCCGUCUCCGACCCCAUGCAGGCUCAAAGCUGCCCCUCCUCUGUGGUCACUGGCACUACCAAUGGGCAGAAAUUCAGCUACGCUAGCAAGAGCUGUGCCCCCACCCCGUGCCCAGAUUAUGAACCUCACCCAUCCUGUGGUCCAUGGAGGGUCUUACCCCAUAGAAACUGAGGAUGGACUGAUUGACUUGAAGACUGAGAAGCUGGACAUGACCUGCUGUGAAAAGAGCUUCUGUAACAAGGCAGCCACAGCGCGGCGCGGCCUUUGGGGCCUGGCUGUCAGGGAGCUCCUGCUCAGCCUGGGCCUCUUCUUUGGGCCCUGCUGUGAGCCCAGCCCACCCUGGCACUGCCCCUGGUGGGUAAAUAGGAGCGCAGGGCGGUUGCCCUGUGCAGCCCUCAGCUCCUGCCCUGAUGCCCUCGCCUAGCCGCCCAGCAGCCCAGAGACCCCCCUCACCCAGCAGCCUAGAUGCCCACUGGCCCAGAUAGUAAAUGCACGUGUUCAACCCAAGGACUUUGUUCCCUUAUUAACCCUUGGGGUCUGUCUGUGGCCUUCAAGGGGGUCCCAGCAAAUUCCCCAAGUGGGGUUCAGAGACUGGAGGGCCUUCCCCAGGUGGCCCAGCCCUGUGCUCAUUUCCAGCCAGGAUCAGGCUCAGCCCCAGCCCGAGGUCCAGAAGCAGCCCGGAGGGUCUUGCACUCAGGGCUGGGGCCACCCAGGAAGACUUGUUGGGGGCUGACAGAGGGGGCGGAGGGGUGGAGGCACUAAGGGCCCAGGCCAGCUGUGGCUGCCGGAUGUGUGAAACGGUCCCGGGCCCACAGGCUGGUGACUCCUGCAAGGCACCGCAGAGGGCGGGGGUGUCAAGGGGGCAGAGGCUGUUGAUGGGGGAGGCAGCGCAGGGUUCUGCCUGGGCCUCACUGCAGGAAGUCCCCACAGGGGCUGAGCGGUGCGGGGUGGGUGAGGCGCAGCGCUGGGGCGGGCUCCCCAUCCUCCAGAGGCUCAUCCAUGGGCAGAUGCCGGGAAGCGGGAAAGUGGGGCUGGAUGGGCUGUGGAGAGGAGGGGGCCCAGUUCGGGUCGACGUGGAGACUGGGAAAUCCCAGCUCCUAGCAGGGUGUGGUGGGCCCUGGGCGGGAGGCUCCGGUCCAGAGCCCUGAGGUGAGGUUCCCUUCCUCUCCCUCCCUCAGGCUUCAGGAAAUUGAAACUCAGCGCGCUGGGCUCCUCCCUUCUCUGCUCCAGCCCCAGGACACAACCCGGGCUCCCUCCCUCUGCUCCCGGACUCCACUCCCUCCCUCGGCUCCUGGAAACCACCUGUCCUUGGGGGGCCUCCCGCCUCCGGAGGGCGGGGCGGCAGGAACCCGGCGGAACCACUCUCUCUGCUACCCGCAGGAGGUCAGGGCUGCCUCUGACCCCAGCCCUAAACCCAGAGCAGAGGGAGAGCUGGGCCCCGAGUUCCAGAUCCCAGGAGGACAAGCAGCUUCCACUCUGAGACUGUCUCCCCUGGGGAAACGAGGGGAUGACUGCGCCCUCGUCUCAGUGUGGUUGCGGGACUUAGAAACCAGUGAGCUCACCUGGGAAGUGGAGGAGAUGCCAGAGAUGGAAGUGAAAAUUAGCUUUAGCAGAAACCAAGCAUUUGUUAGAAAUUCUAUCAUCGCCCAGCGCCCACCAUGUUCCUGUGUCCCUGGAGUCAGAUCCAGCUUCCUCUCACUAGCUCCACUAUGAUCAACUGGUCUGUCCCUCCAGCAAAGCCACCUGUGAUUCCGAGUGAACAAUGCAGUGAAUGCACUGCACACUGGGACCCGAAUGCCGGGAUCUCUGUCCUGGCUACCGUGCCCAGGCUUCUGGACCAUCUGGUUUCCACCCUCUGUUCUCUGCUUGCAUUUCUCAAUGCUAGAGGCAACCCACUCAGCAAAUCCAAACUCCCCACAGAAUCUCAAGCUCAGUCUCUGCAGGGUCCGUCCACAGGGAGUGGUGAUUGGCGGCAGGACCCUCCUCCCGGUGACCCCUUCCAGGUCCUCUUGCUCAGUUACAACGGGCCCUUCUUGGGUGGCAGUAAUGAUUCGUGUGUUUCAGACAGGAAUCACUACCUCAGGGACACAGGAGGAGGACACAGGUCGUUGACCUGCCUUGACCUCAGGGACCUGGGAGGACCCGGCUAUUCAUAUCAGCUGCCAGGGGUGGGAAUCUUGGGGCUUCCAUGGUGACCACCGGCCCCUCCUGCUGGACGGUGCCCCUGGAAUCUUGACACACACAGCACAGUUUCUGGGCAGCCAGGGAAAUCCAGGGUGGGCGCCGAGUGGCCGAGACCCUGGUCCGUUUCCUCCCGUUGUUCCAGAUAAACAAACACACACACCUCCAUUGCGUGUCUGCUUGUUUUUCUCUCUCCAGCCCAAAGAGCCCUCUGGGCUGUGCACAGCACCUGCCUGCAGAUGGUGGCCUGGGCCGGGUUCCUCUGUCAGGAGGCCGCCACCUGCUUGCCAG
rnacentral:lncRNA from 1 species